rnacentral:sRNA from 1 species
AGACAUAUCAAACUGGGCGAGUGCAUUU